GACGAACGCUGGCGGCGCGCUUAACACAUGCAAGUCGAACGGAAAGGCCUGCUUUCCCUUGUGGUUUGCGGGUACUCGAGUGGCGAACGGGUGAGUAACACGUGAGUGAUCUGCCCCCAACUUGGGUAUAAGCCUGGGAAACUGGGUCUAAUUCCCGAUAGUACUGCAGGGUGGUGCCUGUGGUGGAAAACGAUUUUCUAGUGGUUGGGGAUGAGCUCGCGGCCUAUCAGCUUGUUGGUGGGGUAAUGGUCUACCACGGCGGCGACGGGUAGCCAGACGGGGAGGGUGGACGGCGACAUUGGGACUGGGAUAAGGCCCAGACUCCAGCGGGAGGCAGGAAUUGGGGGAAUAGGAGAGUGGGCGGGAGCCAGCUGCAGCGAGGCCGUGUGGGGGAUGACGGGCUUCGGGUUGUAAACUCCUUUCGAGGGCGAGGAAGACACCUAGUUGGAAGUGUGGUGACGGUAGUAGGAGAAGAAGCACCGGCUAACUACGUG
rnacentral:rRNA from 1 species